rnacentral:lncRNA from 1 species
GCAUCAUGAUUGAGGUUGAAAUGAGUUCAUCUAUGAAAAUGUGAGAAAGGAGUUUCCUCCUGGUUGGUUAAUCCUUCUUAAGCUUUUGUUGGCAAACCACUUUCUGGAGCUUCCACUUUCCCAGACCACAGGAUGGGGUGGGCUAGAGAGGAGCUUGGAGUCUGGCUGGACAGUCCCAGCAGUAACCCUAGGACCAAGGAGGCAGCUGAGAUCCCAGGUUGCCUCCACCAUUGCUUCCCUCUGUGCCCUCGUCUUUAAGGAACACUACUAGUCUAGGUCAGCCUCCUCUGAUACGGGGAGUAGGGGAGGGGAGACCCUGGCUGUGGGAAGGGACAGCAGGACCCUAAGUCCUCCAGAGUGCCCUUCCCCUUGAGAUUUGCCACAAGUGACUUUUGCCACCUUUUCCCUGGUCUCCGGGGCCCUGCAUCCUUUAACACCCUGGUCAGGAUUCCCUUCAUCCCCAAAGAUCCUCUGAGGCCACGACAUAAGGUCCAAAAAGCCAUCUGAGGCUACACAAGGCAACUAGCAGACACAAGGUAACUGGCAUCUCAGGAAUCUGGGUUUAGCAACAGGUAUGCUCUGGGCCCGUGCCAGUCCUGCGUCAUGGCACCCCCUGCAGGGCAAGCCGAAGCCUGCCAGGCCUGGCCAGCCUAUCUGUCUCCCGCCAUCCCUCCUCCUGGCUCAUGUUGGAGGCAAAGCAAGCCGUAGGAGUUAGCAGAUGGGUACAUGCCACUUGGCUCGUCCGAGGAUUGCUGUCCCUUUCCCACAGUGGCAGAUGUCCGAGCCAGGUCCAUCCUGCUAGACCCGGUCUGUUCAGUUUUGCCUCCGUCAGUGACCCCAUUCACUCAGUGCUUCCUCUGGUAAAAGUGAUCUAAAUGGUUCUGGAUCUCCUUCCCAUUCACAGUAGGCCCUUGCGGGAGGGUGUCCCAGCUGCUCUCAUUUAAGGGGCUUCACUUCCUAGGCUCUUGGUGGGCCUGAGUCUGCCCCUGCAGUCAUACCCCUUUUGAACAGUCAGGCUUUUCCACACAGGCUGUUUUUCUAGGGUCCUCUUCUAAAGCCAGGUCCUACCGCACUGUAGCCCUCUGCGGGGUCUGACGUUCCACUCAUGGCUCUCCACUCUACGCAGCCCUGGCCUUCCGCUGAAAUGCUCCCCACUGCUGUUCUCCUCAGCCGUGCAGCCAGCCACUUCCGGCCCCCACAAACUACACCUUCCUCUCUCCUUGGAAUCGGGAGGGAGGGCUCCCCGUCCCAACCCUCUGUCGGAGCCCUGGCCCCUCCCUUUCAGGUGGGUUAGGCCAGAGCUCUGAAUAACUGGAACGCUGGCCUCCCCAGGGUGCCCUGUCACCUGCAUCUUCCUCCCUCUUUGGAAGCUGGAAAUGGGCAGGAGCCAGGUUUUCUGCCAUCGCAUGCGCUCUUCUGCCAGGACAUGGGUGAAUCCUACAGUCCCUGCUUUUGUGGACCGGGGACCAAGUAGCCUUCCCCCUUGGCCCUGGAUUCAGCUGGCAUAACCAGCCGAGCAGCUGUCUUCUCCUCUUCCGAGGUGGGCUGUACUGAGGGAUUUAGCUACUCCAUCCCGUCUGUUUGCCAGAGUGUUGGUGGGCCCUGUGUCCUUCCUGCACACGGGCCAAGGACCUGAGGACACACUUCUCUCUCAGAGGCCUGUGGGAGGUGUAGCCCCUCAUAGAGGGCGGAUUAUUUAUUUUAUUGAUUGAUUGAUUUUGGCACCCCUCCCCCCGAGCACACAGACAAUCUAUCUUUGCUCAAACAACUAUUCUAUUAAUAGUGUGCUUGGGGCAGACUAUCACCCAUUCUGCUUUUAAAAAUACUCCUUUAGGGGCCGGCCCAGUGGCGCAGAGGUUGAGUUCGCACAUUCUGCUUCGGCAGCCUGGGGUUCGCCGCUUCGGAUCCCGGGUGCAGACAUGGCACCACUUAGCAAGCCAUAUUGGGGUAGGCGUCCCACAUAUAAAGUAGAGGAAGAUGGGCACAGGUGUUGACUCGAGGCCAGUCUUCCUCAGCAAAAAGAGGAGGAUCGGCAGCAGAUGUUAGCUCAGGGCUAAUCUUCCUCAAAAAAAAAGAAAAGAAAAU